AUUGAACGCUGGCGGCAUGCCUUACACAUGCAAGUCGAACGGCAGCACGGGUGCUUGCCCCUGGUGGCGAGUGGCGAACGGGUGAGUAAUGCAUCGGAACAUGUCCUGUAGUGGGGGAUAGCCCGGCGAAAGCCGGAUUAAUACCGCAUACGAUCUACGGAUGAAAGCGGGGGACCUUCGGGCCUCGCGCUAUAGGGUUGGCCGAUAGCUGAUUAGCUAGUUGGUGGGGUAAAGGCCUACCAAGGCGACGAUCAGUAGCUGGUCUGAGAGGACGACCAGCCACACUGGGACUGAGACACGGCCCAGACUCCUACGGGAGGCAGCAGUGGGGAAUUUUGGACAAUGGGCGAAAGCCUGAUCCAGCAAUGCCGCGUGUGUGAAGAAGGCCUUCGGGUUGUAAAGCACUUUUGUCCGGAAAGAAAUCCUUGGCUCUAAUACAGUCGGGGGAUGACGGUACCGGAAGAAUAAGCACCGGCUAACUACGUG
rnacentral:rRNA from 1 species